rnacentral:rRNA from 1 species
AGCAGCCGCGGUAAUUCCAGCUCCAAUAGCGUAUAUUAAAGUUGUUGCAGUUAAAAAGCUCGUAGUUGAAUUUCGAGACCGGCUUACUGGUCGUGCUAUUGUGCGUACUGGUAUAAUCGGUUUCUCCUUUCUGACGAACUAUAAUGCCAUUAAUUUGGUGUUAUAGGGAAUCAGGACUGUUACUUUGAAAAAAUUAGAGUGUUUUUAAAGCAGGCUCACGCUUGAAUACAUUAGCAUGGAAUAACGGAAUAGGACGUUUGAUUCUAUUUUGUUGGUUUCUAGGAUCGACGUAAUGAUUAAUAGGGAUAGUUGGGGGCAUUAGUAUUCAAUUGUCAGAGGUGAAAUUCUUGGAUUUAUUGAAGACUAACUACUGCGAAAGCAUUUGCCAAGGAUGUUUUCAUUAAUCAAGAACGAAAGUUAGGGGAUCGAAGACGAUCAGAUACCGUCGUAGUCUUAACCAUAAACUAUGCCGACUAGGGAUCGGAUGAUGUUAAUUUUUUAAUGACUCAUUCGGCGCCUUACG